GACUGUAACACAAGACAAGAUAUAAAAUAUAAACCUCAGAGUUACAAAAGACUAUAGACAAACAGAACAUCAUAACUAUAUAAAUAAGGGAAAAAGUUAAUUUUGAAAAAUUAUUUAUAUCCCAGUAGUUACGCUUUGUUAAAAAAUUAAAUUAAUUCGAAAGUGUAAUUAACACGCAAACCAGCCAAUAAAUGUAAAUAACAAAGAAACAUAUUUUCCUACUAACCAAGUCAGUUGGAUGUUUUAGAAUGACAUAAUUGUGAAGCAGCAGUCAAAAGUGAUUUAUUCGACUGGCAAAUGUGGAUAGAUCAAAAUAUGAAUAUAUGAGUAGUUAACCUGGAUUUGACGAGGCAGUAGAUAGAGAAAGGCUCCUGCUUAAAUUGAGAAGAUAACACAUAUCAGCUGAAGAAUUGAAUAAUGAGAGUGAAAAGGGCUGUGACAAUAGUGGGGUUUCUUAUUAUCAUAAUAGUAGUUUUCAUAAUUUAUUCAGCCAAAGAUCUUGAUGGAUUUCCCAUGAAAGAAUCUUCUAUAAAUCAAGAUUUUCAAGAG